rnacentral:rRNA from 1 species
UACAGGGGGUGCAAACGUUGCUCGGAAUCAUUGGGCGUAAAGCGCACGUAGGCGGUCUUGUAGGUGAGGUGUGAAAGCCCUCGGCUUAACCGAGGAAUUGCGCUUCAAACCGCAGGGCUAGAGGAAGGUAGGGGUAUGCGGAACAGAUGGUGGAGCGGUGAAAUGCGUUGAUAUCAUCUGGAACACCGGUGGCGAAAGCGGCAUACUGGACCUUUUCUGACGCUGAGACGCGAAAGCUAGGGGAGCGAACAGG